rnacentral:rRNA from 1 species
AAGUUUGAUCAUGGCUCAGGACGAACGCUGGCGGCGUGCCUAACACAUGCAAGUCGAACGGGUUAUUUCUUCGGAGAUAACUUAGUGGCGAACGGGUGAGUAACGCGUGAGAAACCUGCCUUCAGUGGGGGACAACAGUUGGAAACGACUGCUAAUACCGCAUAAUGUUUCGAGAGGGCAUCUCUUGAAACCAAAGCUUUAUGUGCUGAAAGAUGGUCUCGCGUCUGAUUAGCUAGAUGGCGGGUAACGGCCCACCAUGGCGACGAUCAGUAGCCGGUCUGAGAGGAUGAACGGCCACAUUGGACUGAGAUACGGCCCAGACUCCUACGGGAGGCAGCAGUGGGGAAUAUUGGGCAAUGGGGAAACCCUGACCCAGCAACGCCGCGUGAAGGAAGAAGGCCUUCGGGUUGUAAACUUCUUUACCAGGGACGAAGAACGUGACGGUACCUGGAGAAAAAGCAACGGCUAACUACGUGCCAGCGCCGCGGUAAUACGUAGGUUGCAAGCGUUGUCCGGAUUUACUGGGUGUAAAGGGCGUGUAGCGGAGAUGCAAGUUGGGAGUGAAAUCCCGGGGCUCAACCCCGGAACUGCUUUCAAAACUUAUCCCUUGAGUGUCGGAGAGGCAAGCGGAAUUCCUAGUGUAGCGGUGAAAUGCGUAGAUUUAGGAGGAACACCAGUGGCGAAGGCGGCUUGCUGGACGAUAACUGACGCUGAGGCGCGAAGCGUGGGGAGCAAACAGGAUUAGAUACCCUGGUAGUCCACGCUGUAAACGAUGAAUACUGGUGUGGGAGGACUGACCCCUUCCGUGCCGCAGUUAACACAAUAAGUAUUCCACCUGGGGGUACGACCGCAAGGUUGAAACUCAAGGAAUUGACGGGGGCCCG